UGGAAACACAUGUAGUUGGGAUGUUGAUAAUAAAGGUGGCAGGGGUAAUGGAAGUGGUGGGACAAAAAAUCGGAAAAUCUCCUGAAGAUUAAAAUAUCAUGACGUGGUCACUGAGCCGAUACCAUCUCGGCAAUGACCCUGAUGGACGAGCCAUCUUAUAACUCGUAAGGAAACGUUUUACAUUCUUGUUUCACGUUCACUACAUAGCCAAAUGCCUCAUCAUCUAAUUAGUGACAUGCAUGAAUGGAUGAACGAGAUUCCCACUGUCCCUACCUACUAUCCAGGGAAACCACAGCCAAGGGAAUGGCCUUGGCAGAAUCACCAGGGAAAGAAGACCCCGUUGAGCUAGACUCUAGUCUGGUGCUGUGAAGAGACAUGAGAGGUAUAGAAUAAAUGGGAGGCAGAGAGCAUGCUUGGCGCGGCGACCCGUCCGCUGUUGAAAUACCACUACUCUGAUGGUUUUUUUCACUUACCCGGUGAGGUGGGGGGUGAGCCCCGAGGGGGGCUCUUGCUUCUGGUGCCAAGUGCCCGCAGGUGGGGAGUUUGACUGGGGCGG
rnacentral:ncRNA from 1 species